rnacentral:snoRNA from 1 species
GUGGAUGAUGACCGGAGUAGCUGCUGAUGCAUGAUGAUAGAUGGGCGAACUGACA